UACGGGGGGAGCAAGCGUUGUUCGGAUUUACUGGGCGUAAAGGGCGCGUAGGCGGUCGUGACAAGUCACUUGUGAAAUCUCCGGGCUUAACUCGGAAAGGUCAAGUGAUACUGUCGGACUAGAGUACAGAAGGGGCAACUGGAAUUCUCGGUGUAGCGGUGAAAUGCGUAGAUAUCUGGAGGAACACCGGUGGCGAAGGCGGCAUCCUGGACCAAUUCUGACGCUGAGGAGCGAAAGCCAGGGGAGCAAACGGG
rnacentral:rRNA from 1 species